GGGCCAAUAGCUCAGUUAGCAGAGCACAGUGCUGAUAACGCUGGGGUCAGAGGUGCAAUUCCUCUUUGGCCCA
rnacentral:tRNA from 1 species